UACGUAGGGUGCGAGCGUUGUCCGGAAUUAUUGGGCGUAAAGAGCUCGUAGGUGGCGGGUCACGUCGGGUGUGAAAGCCCGGGGCUUAACUCCGGGUCUGCAUUCGAUACGGGUCUGCUGGGGUCCGGCAGGGGAGACUGGAAUUCCUGGUGUAGCGGUGGAAAUGACGCAGAUAUCAGGAGGAACACCGGUGGCGAAGGCGGGUCUCUGGGCCGGUACCGACGCUGAGGAGCGAAAGCGUGGGGAGCGAACAGG
rnacentral:rRNA from 1 species